GACAGAGGUCCCCGAGCGUUAGGCGGAAUCACUGGGCUUAAAGCGUGUGUAGGCGGACUUCUAAGUACCUUGUGAAAUCCCACGGCUCAACCGUGGAACUGCUUGGUAUACUGGUUGUCUUGGGCCAUCUAGGGGCGAGCGGAACAAACGGUGGAGCGGUGAAAUGCGUAGAUAUCAAGAGGAACACCUGAGGUGAAGACGGGUUGCUGGGCCGACACUGACGCUGAUAGCGCGAAAGCCAGGGGAGCAAACGGG
rnacentral:rRNA from 1 species